GAUGAACGCUGGCGGCGUGCCUAACACAUGCAAGUCGAACGGGAUUCUCUUUCGGGAGAUGAGAGUGGCGCACGGGUGAGUAACACGUAGCUUAUCUGCCCCAAACAGCAGGAUAACUACCCGAAAGGGUUGCUAAUACUGCAUAAGCUCACGGGGAAUAGAGAACUGUGAGAAAAGCUCCGACGGUUUGGGAGGAGGCUGCGGCCCAUCAGGUAGUUGGUAAGGUAACGGCUUACCAAGCCGAAGACGGGUAGGGGGCCUGAGAGGGUGACCCCCCACACUGGGACUGAGACACGGCCCAGACUCCUACGGGAGGCAGCAGUGAGGAAUAUUGCUCAAUGGGCGCAAGCCUGAAGCAGCGACGCCGCGUGGGUGAUGAAGGUCUUCGGAUCGUAAAACCCUUUUGCAGAUGACGAGGAAGGACGGUAAUCUGCGAAUAAGUGUCGGCUAACUACGUGCCAGCAGCCGCGGUAAAACGUAGGACGCAAGCGUUAUCCGGA
rnacentral:rRNA from 1 species